UCCAUGUGUAUGAGAACGGCUCUGACCAGCCUGAAGAACAGCACAAGGAUUACAAAGGCCUAACAAAGAUGAAGAGAAACUUUCUGGAACCUGGAGACCUCAGUCUGACCCUGAAAUACCCCACAAUCACACACACGUACACCUGCACCGUCCACAGCAGGGAGGGAAAGAUCCUGCUGCUCUUUGUCAGUGGAGUCCCCCAGAAGGAGGUGGAUGCAGGAAAGGACUUUGUACAGCUGUCCUGUAAAACCACACUUGAUUUACCUCAUGAUGCUGAAGUGGAGAGACGCUAACAGGAAGGUCCACGUGUAUCAGGAUGGCUGUGAUCAGCCAGAUAGACAGGAUCAGGAUUACAGAGGCCGAACAGAGAUGAAUAAAGACCUGCUGAAAUCUGGAGACCUCAGUCUGACCCUGAAACACCCCACAGAGAGAGACACACAAGUCUACACCUGCACCGUCUACAGCCAAGAGGGAAACAUCGUGUUUAAGAAAGCAGUGAGCAAUCUGAGAGUCAAAGGGAGAGUUCAGGUCCAGGAUCAAACAGGGGACAUCAGGAACAGAAGCAGCUCCAUUGAUCCGACUCCUCUGAUGGCUGAUCAAUCAGUUUGAUCUGUGUGUUCUUUGAUUA